CAGUGGGUUGUGUUUCUUUAACUUUGGGGCCUUGACUUGUUGGAGAAGAUACCACGAAAGGCUCAUAUCUGUGAUUUUAUUGAACAGACCCUGAGAACCGGGACAGCAGUUCUGGCAGUCUUUUGGACCAUGGUCUCCCUGAAGGUUGGAGCUUCUGGAUGGAACGGUGUGGAUGGCUGGGUGCUGACUGCAGCAGCUGGUGGUGGGGAGGACCCACAUGCCUGGGGAAGGGCAUUUUUCCCAUCGCUGUCCUUCGGCGUGGAAAUCCCGGAGGGUACCGUGUUCAUCUGAAAUUCUCAACUUUUUUCCUCGAACCAGGUAUGAAGAGGAAGACAAGGCAUAGUUCCAGAUUAUUCCCAACAACCCUGAAUCAAAACACAUGAUUUUAUUAUAGGAAACAGUAACAAUACUAUGACUCCGGGCACUGCUGUGAGGAGGAAACUCUAACAAUGUUCACGGUGAUUUUUUUCUACCUGGGGCAAGUUCUGCAGUGAAUGGACAAGGUAGCUGUGCAUGGUCUUGGUAUGUUGUAGGUGCUUAGUAAAUGUUCAAUGAUUGAUUAAAGUUUUCUGAAUUCA